rnacentral:lncRNA from 1 species
CCCCCGAUGCCGCAGGAGCCCUUCAUGGAGCUGGAGGAGGUGAACUGGCGGCUGCAGGUGCUCAUGGUGCCGAGGAGGGAGGUGAGUGAGCGAGCAGUUGGCUGAGUGAAGAGAAGGUGCUCAGACAGGCCCCAACAGCCCCUGCUGGAGGCUCCACUGCUCUUCCUGGGAUCAACUGUUCCUAGAAGAGAAGCAGGACCUCUCUCACCCCACCCCCAACCUUGACUGUCACCAAAGAAGAAGCCA